UACGUAGGAGGCGAGCGUUGUCCGGAGUUACUGGGCGUAAAGGGUACGCAGGCGGCCGCGCGCGUGGGUGGUGAAAUCUCCCGGCUCAACCGGGAGGGGGCCAUCCAGACGGCGUGGCUUGAGGGUCGGAGAGGGGCGUGGAAUUCCGGGUGGAGCGGUGAAAUGCGUAGAGAUCCGGAGGAACACCGACGGCGAAGGCAGCGCCCUGGACGAUCCCUGACGCUCAGGUACGAAAGCUGGGGGAGCAAACAGG
rnacentral:rRNA from 1 species